rnacentral:rRNA from 1 species
UACAGAGGUCUCAAGCGUUGUUCGGAUUCAUUGGGCGUAAAGGGUGCGUAGGCGGCGCGGUAAGUCGGGGGUGAAAUCUCGGAGCUUAACUUCGAAACUGCAUUCGAUACUGCCGUGCUUGAGGACUGGAGAGGAGACUGGAAUUUACGGUGUAGCGGUGAAAUGCGUAGAUAUCGUAAGGAAGACCAGUGGCGAAGGCGGGUCUCUGGACAGUUCCUGACGCUGAGGAACGAAGGUCAGGGGAGCAAACGGG